GGGCAGGAAGCAACUUCUGGGCUGUCCCCUUCUCUGUCCUGGGAGCCUCGGGCUGAACCUAGUUUGCUCACCUGUUGAGGGCCCCUGCUGUCCCGGCCUGGAUGAACUGUGGAUGGUGGUUGAUGACAGAGGAGGAGAGUGGAGGGAAGGACCCAGAGAAAGAAAUUCCAAGAGGGAGAAAGAAAGGAAUCUAGUUUCUGAAGUCCUGGCUGGCCAGCCCCCUGCAGCGGCGCCGACACUGCCCGGUGUCCGUGGCACACGCCGGGUCUCACUGUGUUCCGGUUGGUUGAGGCCGCCGGGGGACCCCUGGCAUGGAUGCCGUGGAAGAAAGGAGUCAGGCGCCGUCCUUCCAUGCUAGAGGAGGAACUUGAGCCUCUACCCCAAAGUGGUAGAGCGGAGACCGAUCCCAGGUCUGUGGGCAUCUGGGCAGGAGGUCCUGCUCUGGACCAAGCCACAGACUUGAGAGCCUGGCCCCAGGACUCCCUCGAGGUCAGAGCCAUCGUCUGAAGGAAGGUGACAGGCUACAGGCAGGACCCCACGUAGCUUACAGGCCCCUUGCUCAAAACUGCUGAGGAUUUCCAGGCGGCAGCAGCGAGACAGCCACACAGGCCUCGGCCCAGCGGGAGGGGCCUCACCUGGAGCUCGGCCUGCGAGACAGUGUGAAGAGCAGAAAAACACAGGACGUGAAUCACUGGUCACAAUCACUUGGACUAUCAAGAUGGGUCCUCACAGCAAGCGGUUACUACAGACGGCAAUUUCUAAAACAGGCAGAUUAAAGAUAGAGUCAAAUGAGAGACAGGCCUUCUUUGGUCUUUGUUUUGGGUAAUAGAACUGAACACAAGUGUGCCGUCAGAGAAAAGAAUGCAAUUCUAAAAACGUUACACAAUUGUCUACAUUGAUUUACACACUUCCUUUAUCACAGAUGUCGUUCUGUAGAUAUUUCUUAUAGAAAUCCUUGGAAAUAAUGCCGGCUUUUGUGUUUUCCAAUUAAGUCAUUUAGUUUGCUGUUGAAGGUUAUCUUACUUGUCUGAGGGGCUAAGUUAUAAAAACCAACCGCCACUAAUUACAGGAGUGGUACAGCGAUCCUGGACUUUUAACCUUUUUCACGGCGAGAGUUCACAAGACAGACUGGGACACGGCACAGCAGGAGAAAUGAAAUGCAAGCUCUGCUCGGCCGUGAGGGCCUCCUCAACCGCAGGACACUGGCCCCAGGGCGGCCACAGCGCACGCCUGCCCUGCAGCGGUGUCCGGGACACCCGAGGCAGGUGGAAAAAGCCCCCGGAAGGUUUCCAGGCCUCACCUCACGCCCCCACCAGGCCAGCU